CACAGAGAGCCAAAAGCAGUCAAGGAGUAAAGAUAUUUUACAGUGACAUGCUCCAUUUCCAUUAAACGGUUUCCAGGAGCCAAACUGUUUUCCAACCUUUCCUGAAGAGUGCCUGGCGAAGAAGCGGGACAGUCUUCGAAGAGUUCCUGCGGCAGCUACCUGUGCUGCUUUUCAGUUGCAUCGUUUAUACCUCUUUUCUUCUCUUUUACCGAUCGAGCGUUUGACAUUCUGUGUCCACGUGCUGCCUCCAGUAGAUUCUGUGUCCCCUGAAGGCAGAGGAUGGACAUUUUGGAGCCUCAUCCAUGCCAGGAUCUCCAGCCGUUGAUCCCGUUCUUUUCUGAAGAUCUCAAGCCUGUUUUAGCUGCAGCUAUGGUGGAAGAGAAGUCAAAAAUAUAAGGCUGCCUGCUUUCUGCUGACUGUGAAUUGGGCCAUGGACCCUUUAAAUGAUUCCACCAAGCAAGGACCUUAAUUAUGCUCUGAAAAAAAAAAAAAACGGGAACAUGAUUUAAGCCUGCGUCCUUCAGAACUUACUUUGAUUUAUAGAGAAUCGCCAUUAAUAAUUUAGAGUUCCUUUCUUUCCUUCUCUUAGGCCUCAAACACCACGGGGAAUUGGGAAUAUUCAAGGUCAUAGAAUCCCAUAUUAGCCAGUGGGAAUGAACAGAGGACGUCUUUCCCCAUCUAUUCCCCACAUUUAAUGUUCCGGGGCCAGAUAUUUGGUGGUGAGACAACACAGAAGCAUUGUCCAAAAAAAAAAGAUCUUGCCCACAGGAUCUUACUGCUGAAAUUCUCUCUCCGUUUUAUCCGUUUUAAAAAGUAAUAAUGAAAUGCCUGUUUAAAACAAAUCUUUAGAUUUAUGGGACCCUUGUUCACCUCAUGAUAGAGCUGGAGAUAUGAACAUAUUCCAAGUGCACAAAACGAUUAAGAAAAGUCAAUCCUUACGGUCCCCCGAGUGUUUUGAACAAGCAACCUGGGGAGUUUAAAAGCGUAUCAAGUUACUCAGAGACUCUGAACUCUGGGUAGCACUGUGGAAUUUAUCAAAUCCUGCCGGCCACGGAGCAAGAUCAGCAGUGUGCUUUGAGGCCCUUCUAGGGAGAGAGAAAUAAGCCGAGUCCUGUAGUGAAUCAGCCUCCCCGCUGACCUCCCUGCCUCCACUCUCUCCCCUCCUUACUCGAUGCUUCACUCUCCUGUCAGGAUCAUUUUUCUAGAAGAUCGUUCUUUGCCAUCUUCCAACUCCUCAGAAAUCUCCAUUGGUUGCCCAUCCACCUCAGUCACCGGUAUCUCGAUCGGUGGAAUUUACUGAGCAUUUAUUUUGUGCAUAGCGCUGUACUGAGUCUCGCCUAUCAGUAGACGCCUUAUUGUGGCAGGAGAAUUUGUAUUCGCUGAAGAACUUUAGAGCUAAGCCACAUUGGACUGCCCAUAGUGGAGAGGAAAUCUCACCUCCUCCAAGUGGCCUUCCCUAAUUAAUUUAGACUCUCGCCGGGUUAUAUUCCCCUAACUGCCUCUUCAGCAUUUCGGUACCAAAUGAACACUUGUGAAUCAUUUUGAAUCAGUAGCACCUCUGCGGACACACCUUGCAUAUCCUACUACUUAAGCAUCAACUCUUGUGUACAUCCUUUUUUUCUUCUUCCUCCUGUCUGCAAAUUAUUUUAGUGUCCAUUUCCCCCGGUAGAUUUUAAACUCGUUGAAGGCAGGGACCUUGGGCUCAUAACUCAAUUAUUCUCGUCCAAGACCUCAGUAUGGGCCUCUGUAAACAAUGGGCGCUUAAUAAACGCAAUUGAUCGAUGAA